rnacentral:rRNA from 1 species
GAUGAACGCUAGCGAUAGGCUUAACACAUGCAAGUCGAGGGGCAGCACAAGGUAGCUUGCUAUCUGGGUGGCGACCGGCGCACGGGUGCGUAACGCGUAUGCAACUUGCCCUAUACAGGAGGAUAACCCGUCGAAAGACGGACUAAUACUGCGUAUGCUCACAACUUGGCAUCAAGUGGUGAGGAAAGAAAUUCGGUAUAGGAUAGGCAUGCGUCCCAUUAGCUUGUUGGUGAGGUAACGGCUCACCAAGGCAACGAUGGGCAGGGGAACUGAGAGGUUUAUCCCCCACACUGGUACUGAGACACGGACCAGACUCCUACGGGAGGCAGCAGUGAGGAAUAUUGGUCAAUGGGCGCGAGCCUGAACCAGCCAAGUCGCGUGAAGGAUGACUGUCUUAUGGAUGGUAAACUUCUUUUAGACGGGAAUAACAAGAGUCACGGGUGACUCCCUGCAUGUACCGUAUGAAUAAGCAUCGGCUAACUCCGUG